GGUGGGGUGGCCGAGCGGUUUAAGGCACCGGUCUUGAAAACCGGCAGACUGAAAGGUCUCGCGAGUUCGAAUCUCGCCCCCACCGCCA
rnacentral:tRNA from 1 species